UACGUAGGGGGCAAGCGUUGUCCGGAAUCAUUGGGCGUAAAGCGCGUGUAGGCGGCCCGGUAAGUCGGCUGUGAAAGUCCAAGGCUCAACCCUGGGAUGCCGGUCGAUACUGCCGGACUAGAGUUCGGAAGAGGCGAGUGGAAUUCCCGGUGUAGCGGUGAAAUGCGCAGAUAUCGGGAGGAACACCAAUGGCGAAGGCAGCUCGCUGGGACGUUACUGACGCUGAGACGCGAAAGCGUGGGGAGCAAACAGG
rnacentral:rRNA from 1 species